rnacentral:rRNA from 1 species
UGGGGAAUCUUAGACAAUGGGGGCAACCCUGAUCUAGCCAUGCCGCGUGUGUGAUGAAGGCCCUAGGGUCGUAAAGCACUUUCGCCUGUGAAGAUAAUGACGGUAGCAGGUAAAGAAACCCCGGCUAACUCCGUGCCAGCAGCCGCGGUAAUACGGAGGGGGUUAGCGUUGUUCGGAAUUACUGGGCGUAAAGCGCAUGUAGGCGGACCAUUAAGUUGGGGGUGAAAUCCCGGGGCUCAACCCCGGAACUGCCUCCAAAACUGCUGGUCUUGAGGUCGAGAGAGGUGAGUGGAAUUCCGAGUGUAGAGGUGAAAUUCGUAGAUAUUCGGAGGAACACCAGUGGCGAAGGCGGCUCACUGGCUCGAUACUGACGCUGAGAUGCGAAAGCGUGGGGAGCAAACAGGAUUAGAUACCCCCGUAGUCC